rnacentral:lncRNA from 1 species
UGAACCACCAUCAUCAACAUAAUAUUACCUUGAAAGUCCUACAACAGCACUGGCACCUAGGCUUGCAUGUUCUGCAAACUCAGCCGCAGCUUGAGCAGCAGCGGUAGCAUCCUUAAAUUUUAUGUUCCAAUUCUGCCUGCCAACAGAUAAAUUACUAUUACCAUCUCCAGGAAAUGAUUGCCCAUGUUCCAACCUUUCAUCCUUGAAACCUAAGUGGCAUCAACCACGAUCAUCAACACAAUAUUGCCUUGAAAGUCCUACAACAGUUCUAGCAGCUAGGCUUGCAUGUUCUGCAAACUCAGCCGCAGCUUGAGCAGCAACGGUAGCAUCCUUAAAUUUCAUCUUCCAAUUCUGCCUGCCAACAAAAAAAUUACAAUUACCAUCUCCAGGAAAUGACUACCCAUGUUCCAACCUUUUAUCCUUGAAACCUAAGUGGUAUGAACCACCAUCAUCAACACAAUAUUGCCUUGAAAGUUCAACAACAGCUCUGGCAGCUAGGCUUGGAUGUUCUGCA